UAAAGAUUUUAAGGGCGUACGGUGGAUGCCUUGGCUAUACUGGCCGAUGAAGGACGCGGUAAGCUGCGAUAAGCUACGGAGAGGUGCAAGCAACCUUUGACCCGUAGAUUUCCGAAUGGGGGAACCCGGCGGAAGUUAUGUUCCGUCACCCAUACCUUAGAGUAUGAGGAGGGCACCUGGGGAACUGAAACAUCUAAGUACCCAGAGGAAGAGUAAUCAAACGAGAUUCUCCUAGUAGCGGCGAGCGAACGGGGAAGAGCCCAAACCGGAUCGGGAAACCGAACCGGGGUUGAGGACUGUCAUCAAGUGUAAAUGAGAUAGAAGAAUUGUGCUGGAACGCACAGCCGUAGAAGGUGAAAGCCCUGUACUCGAAAUCUUGCAUGCAUGGGACAGUAUCCAGAGUACCACGAGACACGUGAAACCUUGUGGGAAGCAGGGGGGACCACCCUCCAAGGCAAAAUACCAGUAUGGACCGAUAGCGCAUAGUACCGUGAGGGAAAGGUGAAAAGCACCCCGGGAGGGGAGUGAAAGAGAACCUGAAACCGUAUGUCUACAAACAGUCGAAGCGCGUAUAAUUGCAGCGCGACGGCGUGCCUAUUGAAGAAUGAACCGGCGAGUUACUGUUACUAGCGAGGUUAAGUGGAAAACAUGGAGCCGAAGCGAAAGCGAGUCUGAAUAGGGCGAUUAGUUAGUGAUAGUAGACCCGAAACCGUAGUGAUCUAUCCAUGGCCAGGUUGAAGCACAGGUAAAAUUGUGUGGAGGACCGAACUCGUGAGCGUUGAAAAGCUUUGGGAUGAGCUGUGGAUAGGGGUGAAAUGCCAAUCGAACACGGAGAUAGCUGGUUCUCCCCGAAAUAGCUUUAGGGCUAGCCUCAUGGAGAGAGUAUAGGCGGUAGAGCACUGAUCGGGCUAGGGCCCAUACCGGGUACCGAACCUAGUCAAACUACGAAUGGCUAUACUUAUACAUGGGAGUCAGACUAUGAGUGAUAAGGCCCAUAGUCAAGAGGGAAACAGCCCAGACCACCAACUAAGGUCCCUAAUGCUGUACUAAGUGGCGAAGGAUGUGGAAUUUCUAAAACAACCAGGAUGUUGGCUUAGAAGCAGCCACCAUUUAAAGAGUGCGUAAUAGCUCACUGGUCGAGAGACUCUGCGCCGAAAAUGUCCGGGGCUAAAGUACAGAACCGAAGUUGUGGCAAAUGCAGUAAUGCAUUUGGGUAGGGGAGCGUUCUUAUUGGAUUGAAGCAGUACCGGAAGGAGCUGUGGACUGGUAAGAAGUGAGAAUGCCGGUAUGAGUAGCGAAAAGAAAGGUGAGAAUCCUUUCCACCGAAAGCCUAAGGGUUCCUGAGCAACGAUCGUCGACUCAGGGUAAGUCGGGACCUAAGCCGAGGCGGAAAAGCGUAGGCGAUGGACAACAGGUUGAAAUUCCUGUACUAGUAUGAAUUGUUUGAUCGAUGGAGUGACGCAGUAAGAUAGGUCAGCACGAGGAUGGAAAUUCGUGUUUAAGCGUGUAGGUGAAGUGGCAGGCAAAUCCACCAUUUCAAAAGCUGAGGCGUGAUGAGGAGUUACUAGAAAUAGUGACGAACUGAUUGAUUCUACACUGCCGAGAAAAGCUUCUAGGUAGAGACAUACUACCCGUACCGAAACCGACACAGGUGGGCGGGGAGAGAAUCCUAAGGUGCGCGGGAAAACCCUCGUUAAGGAACUCGGCAAAAUGCCUCCGUAACUUCGGGAAAAGGAGGACUCAUGUAGUGUGAAGAGCAGUAACGCUUGGAGCAUGAAUGAGUGGCACAAGAGAGGCGCAAGCGACUGUUUACCACAAACACAGGUGCCUGCUAAAGCGAAAGCUGAUGUAUAGGUGCUGACACCUGCCCGGUGCUGGAAGGUUAAGAGGAGGGGUUAGGAGUAAUCCGAAGCUCUGAAUUGAAGCCCCAGUAAACGGCGGCCGUAACUAUAACGGUCCUAAGGUAGCGAAAUUCCUUGUCGGGU
rnacentral:rRNA from 1 species